ACAAUUUUAGAUUCUUACACAAGAAAAAGGAGUCGCCGGCUAUCUUUAGCAAAAGAAACGCCCUCCAUUUCCUAUCAGGCGAGCUCGUUUUUUUGGGCAAAGUAGAGAAAAUCUCUUCUGAUUUUCGGUUUUACAUUUCUCGUAUAAAAAUUAUCAAAAAUAAAAUUCUGUUCAUUCUCACUACAAAAAAUGGAGUUUGGUACUUUGGUUGAAGUUUUCUGUCGGAUUUUCGAGGUUGUGGUUGGGUCCGGCUCGUUGGUCUCCUUGUUUUGACCCGGUUUUCUUCCCAGCAGUAAGUCCGAGUAAUUGCCAC
rnacentral:lncRNA from 1 species